CCUACGUGUGGCAGCAGUAGGGAAUAUUGCUCAAUGGGGGAAACCCUGAUGCAGCAACGCCGCGUGGAUGAUGAAGUUUUUCGGAUUGUAAACUCCUUUUGUUAGAGAAGAUAAUGACGGUAUCUAACGAAUAAGCACCGGCUAACUCCGUGCCAGCAGCCGCGGUAAUACGGAGGGUGCAAGCGUUACCCGGAAUCACUGGGCGUAAAGGGCGCGUAGGCGGGACGGCAAGUCAGGUGUGAAAUCCCAUGGCUUAACCACAGGACUGCCGUUGAAACUGUUUUUCUGGAGUAGGGGAGGGGUACGUGGAAUGCUUGGUGUAGCGGUGAAAUGCGUAGAGAUCAAGAGGAACACCGAUUGCGAAGGCGGCGUGCUGGAACCUAACUGACGCUGAGGCGCGAAAGCGUGGGGAGCAAACAGGAUUAGAUACCCCAGUAGUC
rnacentral:rRNA from 1 species